rnacentral:piRNA from 1 species
UAGCAUAUUCAGUGAUAGAGUGAUGGCAUA